UCAUCAAGUCAUCAAAACAGUAGCAUAGGGAAAGGAAUCAUCUUGUUUAAUGGUGCACAGGAAAAAGCCUUAAAGAAGAUGAAGCAUCAGAGACUGCGGCGGGCGUGGGUUUGAUGGCCCCCUAAAUAAAAGCCCAUAUAAUUCUUUUUCUCUUUUCUUUUUUAUUUCUUUUUUUAACAACUUCUAUUUCUUUUUUCUUUCUAACAUUUUUUGACAAAUUAGCACCUAUAUAAUCAAUAUCUAUAUAUCUAGAAUAAUAUAUUUACCAGUAAUUUUGUAAAUCUAACCAGACUCUAUUAUCCUCUAUUGAUCCCACAUAUUUAUAAUUAAAUUUCUUACUCCACUAGAAGACUGAUUUUAAACCUCGACUGACGUCCAUAGGGCUUUCUAGGCUUCUGUCAUGGUUUCACAAUCAGACAGAUAACUUGAGAAUUGGAGAUUUAGGAAGAAAAGCAAAAUUGAGAACAAAUAAUAGAUAUAGAUUUCUUUGAGGUUUUGGAAUUUCAGUUCUUCAUUACAAGAUACAAUGGCCUCGAACAUUAUAUAUCAGCCUGAUUUUUACCAUAACACUCGUUAAGUUAUUACUAACUCAUACCACUAUGGCUUAGCUGUCAAUAUUACCCCAUCUUGAUCGAUGUCAUUUGCUCUAUUGCCAAAUGUGUAAUGAUACUCUUGAUCCUUCUUUCCCUCUCCUUCAUGGCCUUGAUAUUGCCCCUCCCUCAAAAAGUUGGUUGCCCCAAAGAAGAGUGGAUGAAAAUAGCUUCGAAAGAUCAUGAACUUCCUCAGCGUCAAAGUUGGUGAGUGAUCAUCAAACCACUCCACCUAAAUUUAUGACUAUAAAGAAGCCUCUUUAUAUACCAUAUGUGAAGCUAGAAAAUGGAUGGAUAGGCUAGACAACCAUCGAAGAAUCAUGUGAAACCAAAGUGAUAUCAUUAUCUUUUAAAUUCUAGCAGCAAAACACGUAGGAAAAUCAUCUAGUUCAAUGUACCUUGGAUGCUUUGAGUCCUGUGUUGGAGGUGCAUUAUAUGUUAGGGACCAUACUGGUGUCUCCAAGGCCCAAUUAUAUAACAUCAUGAGAUAAUGAUUCCUCUAACAAUACUUUUUAAAAUACAAAUCCUAUUAGGAGAAAUUAUGAAAAUUUUCCCUCACAACUUUCCUAUAAAAAGGUAAGAGGGAAAAUAGACAAAGACUUAUUAAUUUAUUUGCUCUUUUCCAAUCGCUCUCCACUCUCUUCUCUAUUUGUUUGUUUAAGAUCAAAAUUCAAAAUGUCUACUACAUCACAAAACUAGGAAUGCUUAAGCACGCUUAAACUUUAGGCAGUGAGUUAUUGCUCGCUUAACACAAUACCUGUAACACCCCAGGUGUUUGUCACUUGCUAAGUACUAGGUUUGAGCUCAAACAUGUCAAGUUCAAUGGUAACAAAGAGGUCACAGUCAAUCUAUGAAAGUAAGCCCUAACUUGGACUUGGAUGAUGCACCUUUACUUACAUAUAGGCCCUUUUUAAAAGGUAUGCUUUGAUGAUGCUAAU
rnacentral:lncRNA from 1 species